rnacentral:rRNA from 1 species
GACGAACGCUGGCGGCGUGCUUAAUACAUGCAAGUCAACUGAACUUGAGAUAGCAAUAUUUUAAGGGAGGUGGCGCACGGGUGAGUAACACGUAGGUAAUCUGCCUUUAGGUCUGACACAACCCCGAGAAAUCGGGGCUAAUAUCAGAUGAUGCAGCGGCUCGACAUCGAGACAGUUGUUAAACCUUCGGGGCCUAGAGAUGAGCCUGCGUCUGAUUAGGUAGUUGGCGGAGUAAAAGCCCACCAAGCCUGCGAUCAGUAGCUGGUCUGAGAGGAUGAUCAGCCACAUUGGGACUGAGACACGGCCCAAACUCCUACGGGAGGCAGCAGUGGGGAAUAUUGGACAAUGGGCGCAAGCCUGAUCCAGCCAUGCCGCGUGAAUGAUGAAGGCCUUAGGGUUGUAAAAUUCUUUCAACGGUGAAGAUAAUGACGGUAACCGUAGAAGAAGCCCCGGCUAACUUCGUGCCAGCAGCC